GGAGCAAAGUCCUCCCUCUACCUGGUGUCUGCUGUGAUACCCCACUGAAAGGAGAGAACCAGCCUCCUAGCAGCCCUGCCCUUCUUUGCAGGGGCCAGAGGGAUGGAUUUGCACCUGGAAUAGUCACUAAUAGUCUUCAUGGGAGAGAGGAAGAAAACCUACCUGCUACUCAGUCAGACAAGUCCUUAUCAAGGCAAAAAGGAGAGUAAGGAAGAGUGCUUUUGUUUAGACUCUGGAUUGCUCCAGGGCAGGAAGAUGUGUGUGCUGACUGUACAAACAAAGCAAUAACCCAGCCACUCAAGGUGUGGGACUCAUGGAUCAGUGAGGAGAAACACUGAUAAGUAGCUAUCUCGAUUAGAACUUCCUCCUUCACUGCAUCCCUUCUCCUUUACAGCUUUUAAUGUGUUUUGAUCCUCUGCUGAUCUCUCAUUCUCCUCCUUCCCAAGGGCCCUAAGCAGUACCACUCAGAAUGACAGAAUACUCUGGUUUGGAAGGAACCCACAGGAUCAUCCAUGUUGAACUCCUGGCCCUGCACAGGGCAGCCUCAAGAAUCAUAUCAUGUGCCUCUUAGCAAGCUCUAAUCUGCAUAUGGAGAGGUGAUGUGGAAGAAAGGUGCUGAUGACCAUGACAUCUGACAUUAUUCUAUGGCUUUAGUAGACCUCAAGUAUCAUCAAAGUUUGUGUAGACCUUCCUCCAUUCAGUGCUCUACCCUGGGCAUACCUCUGGUCUGAGCAGGCUCAGAUGUUGCAUCAAUGUCCUCUAGUAAUGUGCAAACCCUUUUUACACCAGUUAAUUGAGUCUAACUAUCCCUCUUGGCAGAUGAGUGAGUGCCAGCCCCACUUUACACCUAGGAAGAGUGGGAGAGGAAAGUGGCUUGACCCAAGUUUAAUUGGCAGCCAGGUGAGCAAUGCCAAAUACCCUGUCUGCCUGCACCCAGCCCUGGGCAUGCAGAAAUGGGGAAGUUCCUUGCAGAACAGGAGAGGGGUUAAGUGUUGGGCUGACAUUCUGUGUUAGGUAUUAUAUUGCUCAUUGGGUGCCAGGUAAUGUGCAGAGAAAUGCAUGAGGGGAGUGGGCUCAGGGGCACAACUGCAUUGCCAAGCAGAAUCACAGUGCUAGUGGCAUGGGAGUCAGGGAACAGGCUUGCACUGGCAGCAGGACAGCCUGGGCAGUCUGAUGGCAAAAGGGAUGCUGGCCUCCUUUCAGCUGCUCAGUCUGCCUGCAUCAGUGCCCUGCUUGGUAUUUCCUUCCUUCUCCUCUAAAGAAAAGACAAGAUAAUUUGAAGGGAAAAGCCAAGACUUUGCCCUCUGGAGGGAUUCCAGGGCUGCAGAUGGACCGGGCUGUUCGCAGUGCUGCUGGAAAGCAAUUACAUUUGCAGUUCAGGGGAAGGGAAGAGGAGGAGGGAGAGUCACUGAACUGACAGCAGGGAUAAGAAGGUAGCUCAUUAGCACAUCAUCUUUUCUGCACCCUUCUGUGUGGGAGCAGAUCUCCAUAUGAUGACAUUCAGAGUCUGGCAGGAAUGUCAUCCUGGAACUAGUAGGAAUUUUUCUGCAAGAAAGUGUGAGCAAGUAGGUUUAAAGAGAUCAAAAGUGAGUUCCUCUGUGGUCCAAAGAACAUAAGGGUUCAUCCUUCUAGGUUGUUCUCAAACUUCACCACCAGCUGCUGACCUGGAAUAUGAAGACAAACUGUGGAAGUAAUGAGGUAUUCACUAAAACAAAAAAAAAAAAUACAAAC